rnacentral:misc_RNA from 1 species
CGAAGAAGCUCUUUAGCGCAACCUCAAGCCGAGUCCUGCAAGCUUGCAAAAAAAAGCGAAAAAAGAAUCGCUUUGAUAAAUAACUUAGUAACUUUUCUCUACUAUGUUUGUGUUUUAAAAAAUGAGUUUUUCAAGUGAUGAAGUUAAUUUCUUGGUUUACCGAUAUUUGCAAGAAUCCGGUUUUCAGCAUUCUGCUUACACCUUUGGCAUAGAGUCACACAUUUCACAAUCCAACAUCAAUGGAGCUUUGGUACCGCCAGCAGCCCUUCUCUCCAUCAUCCAGAAGGGUUUACAAUACACAGAAGCUGAGAUCAGUGUUGGAGAUGAUGGUUCUGAACGACCCAUGGAAAGCUUAUCACUCAUUGAUGCUGUGAUGCCUGAUGUUGUUGCAAGUCGUCAACAGCAAAUGCAGAACAAUCAGAAACCACAAGUUGUAAAGACAGAACCACCAAAUUCCAAUGGAGAUGAACCCAUGCAUUCCUAUCCCAACCCCAAUGAAGGCCGGGAAGAGGAAACAGGAGUAGAGAUACCUGCCAGCAAAUCAACUGUACUUCGUGGCCAUGAAUCUGAAGUUUUCAUCUGCGCUUGGAACCCGACGACUGAUUUAUUGGCUUCCGGCUCUGGCGAUAGUACUGCCAGAAUUUGGAACAUGAAUGACAACUCGUCUUCACCAACUCAACUUGUUCUUAGGCAUUGCAUUCAGAAGGGUGGAACUGAAGUUCCAAGCAACAAAGAUGUCACCUCACUUGACUGGAAUUGUGAUGGAACUCUUCUUGCAACUGGCUCUUACGAUGGUUACGCUCGCAUUUGGACAACUGAUGGAAGAUUAGCUAGCACUCUGGGACAGCAUAAAGGACCUAUUUUCGCACUAAAAUGGAACAAAAAGGGCAACUAUAUCCUCAGUGCUGGAGUCGACAAAACGACCAUCAUUUGGGACGCCUCAACGGGCCAGUGCACGCAGCAAUUUGCUUUCCAUUCCGCCCCAGCACUCGACGUAGAUUGGCAGUCGAAUGUCAGUUUUGCCUCAUGCUCCACUGACCAGUGUAUUCAUGUUUGUAAGCUGGGCAGUGACAAGCCAACCAAAUCCUUCCAAGGACAUACGAAUGAAGUAAACGCUAUUAAGUGGGAUCCUCAGGGUAAUCUUUUGGCUUCCUGUUCUGACGAUAUGACGCUCAAGAUAUGGUCCAUGAAACAAGACACUUGUGUUCAUGAUUUGCAAGCACACAACAAGGAAAUCUACACCAUAAAAUGGAGUCCUACCGGCCCUGGAACAAACAACCCAAACAUGAAUCUGAUUUUGGCUAGCGCUUCGUUUGACUCGACCGUUCGAUUGUGGGACGUCGAGCGUGGGUUGUGUAUUCAUACUUUAACCAAGCACACCGAACCAGUGUACAGUGUCGCAUUUUCUCCCGAUGGCAAAUACCUAGCAUCUGGUAGCUUUGACAAAUGUGUACACAUCUGGUCUACUCAGUCUGGGCAAUUGUUACACAGCUACAAAGGAACUGGAGGCAUUUUUGAAGUUUGCUGGAAUUCUCGGGGCGAUAAAGUUGGAGCAAGUGCUUUUGACGGAAGUGUAUUUGCUGGGAUAACUGAAGAGAAGUUUUAAAGAAAGACGGAAACAAUUGACAAGGCAAAAGAUUGGGAACCUGAAUGCUAUUCAGGUUUAAAGGAUGGUCAGUGACUACAGUUGGGAAUGAGGUUUUCAGUUCUAACACUAUUUCCUCCAGUAGUUCCACGUUACUACCUCAUUAUCCUGGUACCGUGUCCACAAAGC